rnacentral:misc_RNA from 1 species
AGCAAAUAGACGCCCGGGCUUUUAUUUAAGGAAAUAAGUGGUAGAGAUGAAUGGGAUGCUAAGGAAAUGGAUGUACAAGAAAGUGAAGUUAUUGAAGAUUAUGAAAAGGAUGAAGAGGUACAUGCUAAUACUUUAUUAUGCUUGCUGAUACAUUUGUGAUUUGAUUUUGUUGCCAUAAGCAUACAAAUCAAUCAAAUAUAGUAUAAUAGUAAUAUGUAAUAGCAUGUUUAGUUUCAUAAAACAGGCUUCAUUACAUUUCCUGAUACAUAUAAUUAGUUUGGAUAAAUUUGUCCAAAAUUGGGCCAAACUCCCUGUAUACUGUAACAUGGUUUUAGGCCAAAUUUUGCCAAAAAUUAAAAGGUGAGAGUUCUUCAUUUCUAUAAUUAUUUCUAAUACAUAUUUAUGUCCUCUUGUUAUGUAGAGGAUUCCAAUUAAAUAUAGCUUUUUUACAAAUUUUUGAAAUUUGUGCCAAAGACAUAGUUUUUUAUAAAAUGCUCAUAUAUCAUUUUUCAUUUGCUGUUACUUUGUGGGAGAUGAUCAUGCGACACAAACCAACUCUUGAUCUCAAUCAGGAGGAACAGUUUCAUCCUUAUAACGUCUUCCGUACAAUAGGAAAAGAGCAAGGAUGCCCACUAUCAUAGGUAUACCAAAGUUUCUAUGGGAGCUAGUGACAAAGUGCUGGGCACAACAACCUGUUGAUAGACUCUCCUUUGAUGAGAUAGUUAGGAAACUAAAAGGAGUACCUUACAAAUUUAAAAUGAACCACUAUUAACUCGUCGAAGGAGUAAAACUGAAGUGGAGAAGCCACCAUCAUCAUCAGACAUACAUCAGAUCAGAAGACCAGACUCUCAUCCUCCUAAUCAGAUGGUUGUUGCCUUUGAUCCUGACAGUUUUGAAGUUGUUGAUAAUUUUGAAAGUACUUCUGACGAUACGUUAGUAUCUAUUGAGCCAAAACAAGCCGAUCCUUCAUCUCAGUAUUAAUUGAUGGACUUGAUCCUGAUCGACAACCAUACAUUCCAAUAGAAGGGAAUCAAGAAUCAUAUGAAGUAUACAUGCAAUAUAAAUCAUAUGUAGAACAAAGGUUUAAGAUACUAUAUGAGAUGGGACAGUUAGAUCAAAAGAGGAUUGAAUUAGAGAGUGAGCUUCAUGGUGAAGAAUUAAAAAGCACAAAAUCAACAACAUUUUUUCACCACUAUAGUUCAAUACUACAAGAAAACCGUGAACUAGAGGAGGAGCUUAAGAAGCUUAGAUCAUUAUGAUAGUAACUGGUUCUUAAUUAUUUGCAUGUAAUAUUUUGUCCUUUCAAUUUUUAACAUUAUUUGACUUCAAACGUGCCAUCUAA